rnacentral:piRNA from 1 species
UGCUUUAAAGUUAGUGGGUAAGCCUGGCCUC